rnacentral:lncRNA from 1 species
GAUAAUUGACAGCCAACAAAUCGGUUUCAUUUUGUAAGUUUUGAAGGAUUAUGUCAGAACAAGCAUAUGUUUUGUUCUCUAAUAGAUUAAUUUUUGCCUUCAUAAUUUCGUUUUCCUGUUCUACAGCAAACAUUCGCUCAUGUACCUUCGUAACGUACUGUUCUAAACGUAACCUGGAUUGUCGUUCUUGGUAUAUCAUAUCCAUUAAUGUAUUGUAGUGACUGUCGGUUAAAAAGGCUCCAUUGUUAGUCCCAGGUCUCGUUGUUUUAUCAUUUAACAAAAAAGAACACGAAAAAUCAAACACCAGAGCAAUAAACACAAGUGAUAUAAAACCUUU